rnacentral:rRNA from 1 species
UACGAAGGGGGCUAGCGUUGUUCGGAAUUACUGGGCGUAAAGGGCGCGCAGGCGGCCCUCCAAGUCAGGCGUGAAAGCCCCGGGCUCAACCCGGGAAUAGCGCUUGAGACUGGGGGGCUUGAGUUCGGGAGAGGAGAGUGGAAUUCCCAGUGUAGAGGUGAAAUUCGUAGAUAUUGGGAAGAACACCGGUGGCGAAGGCGGCUCUCUGGACCGACACUGACGCUGAGGCGCGACAGCGUGGGGAUCAAACAGG